CUCUCGAUAAAAGACCUAUCUCUGAAAAUUAAAAUUCCCCGAUUUGAUUAUUCUUUUAAUAUGACGUAAUUAUGUAACCUCAUAUAAAAUAUAGUAGAGCGUAUACAAACAAAUUAUAUGAAUAGAUUCAUUAUCAGAAAUAUUACAGGCCUUUCAAACGAACAGUCGCCAUUUUAAGAGAUAGAUGUACAAAUAUAUUUUUAUCGUCUCGGGCAAGGUCAAGGUCACGAUCUGUUCACGGUUGAUGAUUGUGUUUAAAUCGGUUUAUAUCAUAUUAUUUCUAUUCACAUUACAAUAUUUUUUUUAUAGGUUACGGUUAUUGUUGUUAUUUAUCUAAAUUGCUUUUAUUAUUUAUUAAAUAUUUUUUGUUUGUUCGUUUGACCGGAACGUACGGAAUUCUGGGAUUUAAAAUGGCGGCAUAGGUGAUUAUUUUUCCCAAAGAAGAAAUGAUGCCGUGAUUUAAAGUUAAAUAAAGCUAUUCCACACAUACACAGACGAUUUUGGAUUCAGCAAAGUAAAGUUGAAGAUCCUACAUGUAUAUUUGAGCACCCUUGGUGGCAGUAAUGACAAAGAAGUUCUAAAAAGAUUUAUAUGGGCUUUAUAAUGAAAGUUAGACAACACUACUACUUGCCAAACACUACUACUUGUCACAUAAUGUAAUGAUAUAAAUAUAUAUGUAUCUAUGGUAGCACAAAUAUCAUCAGAAUGUAGGCCAAAGCUUUACAAGCAUUGUAGGCCUAAAAUACUUUCUGUCUGAACUUUUGACAGUCAAUUCUUUGAUGACUAGUUAGUUUAGAGCAGAUAUCCUGUCACAGUAUUAUAUAACAGCUCUUUGGCUUAAAGUCUAAACUGAGUUGUAUCAGUGAGUUGAAAAUCAUCUGUGUUCCUGUUAUUGCUCCCUGCUGCAGCCAGUAAACAAUAAACUUUUGCGUUCCUUACAAAUCUUCCAAUUUUUAUUGAUAGAUCAACCAUAGCAAAGAUCUCUAUUAAGAUUAUAUUUGUAAUGUGUGUAACAAAUUCUAUGACAUAGGUAUAAUAUUGGUGUAGUUAAGUAUAUACCAUAUUUAUGCACACAUUUCAAUGUUGGCAUAUUAUUAGUCUCUAUCAUCUAGAAAAAAAUAUUCUAUAUUCUACGAAUAUUAGUGUGGUUGCGUUGUCAACAUUUGAGAAUAAUCGGUCAUAGGCUAGAUUAUCCGGUCUUUUACAUUAUCAUAAACAAAGUCUAAGGGAGGUAACUAGUCCUAAAACAAGAUGUUGACGCCCAUGAAAUUUAUAUAAGAAUGCCAUUUCCGAAAAUCCAUUUGAUUGCAUUGUCAGUUCAAUAUCCAACACUCUUAAUUUUUUUUAUUGUAAAAUUUCUCUCUUCAUGGGCCAUAUCUAUGUUGUUUUUUUUAUUGAAUCCUAAUUCGUCAUCACGAUUCAUGUUUGUUUAUAAAUGCAAGUGUUAUUGACAACUGUCCCAGACCCUCAUUACUUAUAUGGCCCAACUUUUCUUCGGCGUACACCGGCACGGUAUUAGACUAGGAUAACAGUCCCGAAACUCAUGGAGUUGAAGAACAUUAGUCUUAUAUACCGCCUCUACUUAAUUAUGGAAGUAGGUUGGAAAAAUGUAAAAUUUGGCAAUUUGACUUAUACUCAACAUCGACUUAUACCCUGUAUGGUAAUGUGAUGAUGCCCCCUCUUCCAGACAAGACAUAGGCUAUAACUGUUUCAAAUGACAAGUGCUAAAUGAAGUAUUUAUGUGGUCUUUGGUGAAAGAAAUGAAAUGAAAUGAAAUGGGGUUUAACGUCCUACUCCUAACCUGGGCUAAUGAAGACGAGCAUAUGCCAUACAGUGUACUAUGAGGGAAAUUUUGCCUGGGCAGCAGGGCUACGGCCUACUCUUAUAUCGAAUUCCAACUGCCAAGGGAUCUUUUACGUGCAUGCCAAUGUCUACACGGGACCUCGGUUUUUCGUCCCAUAACGACUAGACAGCUGUCCGUCUGUCAGUUCCUCCGUCCUGCAUCACUGACAAGGGAAACCACGCCGGAAAAUCAGGAUGAACUUUCUCGGCCAAUACAGGGAUCGAACACCCGAUCUCCAGGCUAGCGAACCAGCGUCUUACCCACUUAGCCACUUGAUCCCCCCCUUUGGUGAAAGAGAGAGAGAGAGAAAUGGGGUUUACCGUCCACUCGACACAAACUAGGUCAUUUCGGGACUAACAUAUGGUUUAAUUUUUUAUUUACAUAAUUCGCUUGCGCGUAGGGGUCUUUAGCAGUGGGAGGAAACCGAAGGACCCGGAGAAAACCCACGAGGUUGGACAGGCGACCCUACUCCUUGCCACGUACAACCGGGGUUUCGAAACCACGCCAUUCGACUCAAUGACAGACUUUAUGAUACAGCGCGCGCACGCUAACCAUUCAGCCAUCCACCACCCCCCCACCCCCCUUUGUUGAAAGAAAACAGAGCUGUGGCUAGUGAAAUGAAAGUUUAACGUCCUACUGUUUUGCUCUGAACUGGGCUUAUGAAGAUGGGCAUACGCCAUACAGUGUGCUAUGUGGGAAAUUUUGCCCGGACAGUGGCACUACGGCCUUCUCUUAUAUCGAAUUCUAACUUCAAGGGCUCUUGUACGUGUACGCCAAUGUGUACAUGGGACCUCAUUUUUUUGUCCCAUUUUAAUGACUAGACAGCUGUCUUGUCUAGCCCUCUGUCCUGCAUCACUGACAAGGGAGAACCACGCCCGAAAAUCUGGAGUAACUUUCUCGGCCAAUGCAGGGAUCGAACACCCGACCUCCAGACUAGAUAGCCAGUGUCUUACCGACUUAACCAACGUGAUCCCCGUUGUGGCUACAAUUCCUGGAUUUGAAGGUCAGGUAUGAUAUGAAACGAAUAUUUUUAACCGGUUCACCAAUGCAACCAAUCCGUGACGGGUUAACUGAUAGAGGGUUACAUCCUUGAUAUGAAUAUACUUGUCGCGGGUUUUAAAAAUAGAAAUAUAUAUAUAAAGGUAGCUCAAAAUUCAUCUCUACAUGUACAGAGGCCAAGGGGGGAUCAUGUGGCUAAGUGGGUAAGACGCUGACUCGCUAGCCUUGAGGUCGGGUGUUCGAUCCCUGCAUUGGCCGAGAAAGUUCAUCCUGAUUUUCCGGUGUGGUUUCCCAUUGUCAGUGAUGCAGGACGGAGGGCCUGACAAAGACAGCUGUCUAGUCAUUUGGAUGGGACAAAAAAACAAAACAAGGUCCAGUGUACACAUUGGCGUGCACAUAAAAGAUCCCCUGGCAGUUGGAAUUCGAUACAAGAGUAGGCCAUAGCGCUGCUGCCCGGGCAAAAUUUCCCUCAUAGCACACUGUAUGGCGUAACCUUUUGCGUCUCUUCAAAAUAUUUCAAAUCUUUUGUCAUGGAUCAACCAUUGCAAAUAUCCGUGUUACAAUUAUAUUUGAAAUGUGUUAAACCAAUUCUGCAACACAUGUAAUAUUGGUGUAGUAUAUAUCUUUGUUUAUACACCCACAUAUCAAUUUUGGCCCUGUUUGUCCGUACACUGGGUGUGAAAUGUGAAUCAUUCCGAUUGUGAGAGGACAAGCAUUAUCAAUAUACAGCUUUUCAGGACUUUGCUUUCCUUGGUUAAUUCUCCCUAGUCUAGUCGUUUGGAUGGUACGAAUGAUCGAGGUCCUGUGCACACAUUGGUGUGCACGUGAAAGAUCCCUUGGCAGUUUGAAUUCGAUAUAAGAGUAGGCUUUAGCGCCGCUGUCUGGAUAAAAUUCCAUAAUAGGACACUGUAUAGCAUAUUUCCAUGUCAUUAGCCCUGUCGGAAUAGGACAUUAAACCCAUUUCAUUUCACUCAUUCCAAAGUUAACUUCUAUUCCAUCAAUACCUUGAGCAAAUAAGAUAGAGGCUAUAGGUUUUGGCCCAAUUUGGUCAAUAUCCCAGUUUUUUCUUUCUUAUAUGCAUAUCAACACUUUCAUAGCGCUAAUGUAGACCUUUUUCUUGAACAUUUUCCCGUGUCAGUGAUGCCGGACAGAGGACCUGACAUGGAUGGCUGACUAGUCAUACGGAAGGGACAAAAAAUCAAGGUACAGUGUAAACUCAAGUGUGUGUGUGUGUGUGUGAAAGAUCCCUUGGCAGUUGGAAUUUUAUAUAAGAGUACGCCAUAGCUCUGCACACUGUGUGGCAUAUGCCCGUCUUCAUUUCUCAAACAGCUGUGGAUAAAAACUGUUAAUAUUUAAAUGUGUAUUUUGUAUUUUAUAACAUUAUAUUUUUGUCUUUUAAAUAAAGUAUAUGUAUACAUA